rnacentral:lncRNA from 1 species
UGAGAUCAAGAUAAUCGAAAAGCCGAACAGUCAAACUGAUGAGCUAAAUGCAUCUUUUCAAUCCACAGGGUAUCCAACCUACUCAAUAUAACUUCUGAUCCUCUCAAGUUCCUAAAGCAUCCCAUCUCUUUUCCUCAAGAACACAACUGCCUUUGGAUCACUCUGCAAGAAACCAUUAUCAAAGUUAAUUAACCUUUAAGCAAGAUAAAAUUUAGGGAGAAGAAUAUAGAGGAAAUGCAAAAAAGAAAAAAUCUCUUGGAAUUGACGAUACUUUUUGAAAAUUUUGGGAUUCAAUUGCACUUUCACGAUAAGUUUUAGAGCUUCUGGUGCAGUUAUUCUUUCAAUUGUUCGAUUUGCAACUACAAACAUAUUACAUCUAAUUCAGCUCUUAAUCAUCAAAUUCAAAUUAUUGCACUAUUUCAUUUACAUUGCCAAAAGACAUAUACAUAUAAUCUCCCUUUCCACAUCGUUAUAUAGAUAUAGAUUUUAGCACUUUUUGUUCCUACUGAUGCGGGCUUGUAAACUAAGCUACAAGGACUCAACGAAUUGGCUCUAUUCCACAAAAUUGGCUUCUAUUUCUCUGCAAGCCCUUCGGUCUCUCCUUUGUUUAGAUUCCCCUUGCCUAGGACUCUUUAGACCAUGUUCAUAAUUUCAAUAAAAUUUUCUUUGACCCAAAAAGGAAGAACUUCACCUUUUCUCUUGCCCUCAUAGGAUGAUCCCCAUGAGUCAAUUCUUUCUUUUCUUUCUUGGGUCCGUCCAACUUUAUUAAUGGUGCUUUAGUCUUCAAUAAGGGGCGGAGCUUGAAGAAGCGAAGCGAGCCUAUAGUAGUAGCAUAUUACGUUUUUCAGGCCCUUUGACUUGAUAUUCUAUUAGUCAAGCGUAAUCGUCCCUAUAUAGUCAGGCUCUUUUGCUAUUAAUGAAACCGAAAGACAGACAAAACCAGUGCUUUUUGUAAACAUGUGAUUCACAUCUAUGACUUACGAUUAAUACAACACAAGGACUCAUUAUAAAACACUUAUUACAACAUCAUGACUCAUCUUAAAAUAUUUAUUACAACAUGGCUCAUCUUCGUGAUUUAUCACAACAUGAAUUUUUUUUUUUUAAAUUUGAAAGAAGAUUAUAUUCAUUACUCAAAAUGAUACAUAAGUACAUAGUGUUCAUGACAGAACAAAUCAAAACAGAGCAAGAAUAGUGAAAAGCAAAGCCAAAUCCAGAAAACGAGGAUCAAUGGAACACCAGCAAAGUUAACCACACACUUGUUCCAAGAGAACAUAUUUGUUGAGCAAAAUAAUUAGCAACCAAUCACUGGAUCUCGUAUCUUUAUCAAUGAUGAGCACAUGCUUAAAAUUCCUUCUCCAAUAACUAUGACUUUGCCAAUUGGUGGUGCGCACAUAGUUUCGGCCUUUACGCCAUCAUCUUACGGAGAUAACCAAAUUAGGUUGAACGAGUACAAUCUACCAUGUGGAGGAGCAAAACUUUACGAUUCAAUAAGACGUCAAAACUCUUGCAAUCAUCAUUAAAACUGGAGGCAAAGAACCUAUACACAAACAUAGCAGAGGGGCAUUGAAUCCCUAAAAACAUAUUUAUUAAACUCCCAGAUCUAGAUCAGGAGAUGAUAGCAUCCAAAUAUGGAACUAAAUUGUGAGAAUUCAAAUUCUUAAAUUGAGAACUAGACCGAGAGAAGAGAACUCCCAAAUUUGAAUCGGGAGAGAAAAAAAAAAGGCAAGAAAAGAACAAUAAAAUGCAAACAAAAUCAACAAAAGAGGGGAGGGUGAGACUAGCUUAAACCCUUCCUCAUGGCUAAAGGUUGAAGAAACCGAUGGAGAGAGAGAGGGAGGGGGGGGCAGCUCCCAUCAUAACGUAACUUAUUAACGUGACAUAUAUGGCAAUGUAAUUCAUCAACGUGACAUUUAUCACA